ACGGGCAGAACACCCGUUUAUAGGCUCUAAGUGGAAGUACAGUAAUGUAUGAAGCUGAGGUGUACUAACAGACCGAGGGCUUGACCUC
rnacentral:rRNA from 1 species